rfam:Camelus ferus unplaced genomic scaffold scaffold505, whole genome shotgun sequence.
GAGGAUAUAGUUCAGUGUUAGCAUGCAUGCCUAGCAUGCAUUAGGUCCUGGGUUCAAUUCCCAGUACCUCCA